CAAACAGAGAGUUUGAUCCUGGCUCAGGAUGAACGCUGGCGGCGUGCCUAACACAUGCAAGUCGAACGAAGCGCGGGAAGCGGAAGUUUUCGGAUGGAAGCAU
rnacentral:rRNA from 1 species